rnacentral:rRNA from 1 species
UGUCAUGCCAAUGGCACUGCCCGGUAGCUAAAUGCGGAAGAGAUAAGUGCUGAAAGCAUCUAAGCACGAAACUUGCCCCGAGAUGAGUUCUCCCUGAGACUUUAAGUCUCCUGAAGGAACGUUGAAGACGACGACGUUGAUAGGCCGGGUGUGUAAGCGCAGCGAUGCGUUGAGCUAACCGGUACUAAUGAACCGUGAGGCUUAACCUU